ACUGCCGGUACGUCCCUAAGGUCCCUUCGGUUUGAACCGCAUACAAUGGCAAAACAUAUUUGCCCAACAGGAUUUGGAAUUGUCUUCUUCUCCACACUCUCUCUCGAAUAUGAGUUCCCUUUGCAAUCUAUUCACGCAGUAGGCACCCCUCCCAAUCAAAGGCAUUCUCGUGUAGGUGACUCAACGUAGAAUUUGAGACGGGAAAGGGUAGGAUGGAUGACGAGGAUGACACUUUUCCUCGCAGGGCCGCGAAGGGUUGGGACACUCUUUUGACUGGAUGAGUUGCUAACUAAGUUUUUGGAAAGAGAUCAAAAUGAACUUAAACCGUAAGGGGCCUAAAGGCAGCAACAAGAGAUAAUAGUUGGGACAUCUGUGAUGCAUGUGAGAUCGUGGAGAAAGGCUAACAGAGUUUUUAUGGUUUUGAGAGAAGGAUAACGGAUUGGUUCGAUGAAAUCAGAGCAUCUGUUGUUCACCAAAGAGCAAAGAGAUCUUUGAGAGAUGUGGCUUGCUUAAAUCAAGCUCUUCUGGCCAAAGUAGCCUGGCGAAUUCUCAAAAAUCCGGGUUCAUUGCUUUCUUCUGUUUUUCUACGGAAAUAUUGUUGGAGACCGCAGUUUCUUGAUGCAACUGCACCUUCUAAUGCAUCUGGAGAAGCAUUAUGUUGGGAAAGGAUCUGCUGGAAAAAUAUAUGAUAUGGUGGAUUGGGGAUGUAACUAAGAUUAGUGUUUUAAGGAUAAAUGGAUUCUCAAUGUGGAUAACCCAUAUGGUGGAAGAGGAGUGGAGAGAUUUUGAGGAAUGAGAAGUUUUGCUUUAAUUUGUGGGGUAAAGGUUGGGGUUUAGGUCUUCGUCCAAAGUUUCAACUAUUCAUUUGGAAGGUGAUACAUCACAUUUUGGUGGUUAAGGAUGCUCCGUUGAGAAGGAAGAUUGAUAUCAAUCCGAGUUGUCCACUACGUACAGAGAUGCCAAAGACAAUUGAAUAUGUGUUUGGGCUGUGCAGUUUUGUGCAACGGCUUGGAACCCAAUCGUAACUAACUUAAAUAGUCAAAUGGUUCUGAUGGAUUUUGUUAAAGUUGGUAAAGUGUCAAGACAUGAUUUUAAGGGUGCUCACAAUGUUGAUAAAGCA